UACAGGGGGUGCAAACGUUGCUCGGAAUCAUUGGGCGUAAAGCGCACGUAGGCGGUUCGUUAUGUCGGAUGUGAAAGCCCUUGGCUUAACCGAGGAAGUGCAUCCGAAACUGGCGAGCUAGAGUACGAAAGAGGAUCGCGGAAUUCCCGGUGUAGAGGUGAAAUUCGUAGAUAUCGGGAGGAACACCAGUAGCGAAGGCGGCACUCUGGGCCGGUACUGACGCUGAGGAGCGAAAGCGUGGGGAGCAAACAGG
rnacentral:rRNA from 1 species